GACGAACGCUGGCGGCGUGCUUAACACAUGCAAGUCGUACGGUAAGGCCCUUCGGGGUACACGAGUGGCGAACGGGUGAGUAACACGUGGGUGAUCUGCCCUGCACUUCGGGAUAAGCCUGGGAAACUGGGUCUAAUACCGGAUAGGACUCCGGACUGCAUGGUCUGGGGUGGAAAGCUUUUGCGGUGUGGGAUGGGCCCGCGGCCUAUCAGCUUGUUGGUGGGGUGAUGGCCUACCAAGGCGACGACGGGUAGACGGCCUGAGAGGGUGACCGGGCACACGGGGACUGAGAUACGGACCAGGCUCCUGCGGGAGGCAGCAGUGGGGAAUAUUGCACAAUGGGCGCAAGCCUGAUGCAGCGACGCCGCGUGAGGGAUGACGGCCUUCGGGUUGUAAACCUCUUUCAGCAUCGACGAAGCGAAAGUGACGGUAGGUGCAGAAGAAGGACCGGCCAACUACGUGCCAGCAGCCGCGGUAA
rnacentral:rRNA from 1 species